rnacentral:rRNA from 1 species
GACGAACGCUGGCGGCGUGCUUAACACAUGCAAGUCGAACGGAAAGGCCCUGCUUUUGUGGGGUGCUCGAGUGGCGAACGGGUGAGUAACACGUGAGUAACCUGCCCUUGACUUUGGGAUAACUUCAGGAAACUGAGGCUACUACCGGAUAGGAGCUCCUGCUGCAUGGUGGGGGUUGGAAAGUUUCGGCGGGUGGGGAUGGACGCGCGGCUGAUCAGCUUGUUGGUGGGGUAGUGGCUGACCAAGGCUUGGACGGGUAGCCGGCCUGAGAGGGUGACCGGCCACAUUGGGACUGAGAUACGGCCCAGACUCCUACGGGAGGCAGCAGUGGGGAAUAUUGCACAAUGGGCGGAAGCCUGAUGCAGCAACGCCGCGUGCGGGAUGACGGCCUUCGGGUUGUAAACCGCUUUCGCCUGUGACGAAGCGUGAGUGACGGUAAUGGGUAAAGAAGCACCGGCUAACUACGUG